AUGGAGAAUUGUCUUCAACAUAUUAUGUUGUAUGUGCUACUUCUCGCUAAUGUAAUUACAGGAAGAUCUUCCCCUACAGAGCAAGGAAACUCAUCAAUGCCAUGGCCCUCUGUUCUUCGUCCAGUGAUUUUCCAUACUAGUGAAAAUUUUGCCUCAGAUCAAAAUUCAGUAAUCUCUUAUAUCACGAGUCAUGUGUGGACUCCUCGAGGUGGUGCCGAGAACUAUUAUGGCAUUGAGGCUACAAUUGAUGUAUAUGGAUUUCAUUUACAACCCGGCCAAUUAAGUGCAGCUGGAAUUUGGAUUAUCAACAGAGGAGAUGGAAAACCAUCUUCAGCUAGUGGAUUUCAAGUUGGAUGGAGUAUUUUUCCGAGGUUCUACAAAGAUUCACAUACCCAUUUCUACACAUCUUGGACUAGUGGUGGAUCGCCCGCGAAGGGUUGCAGUGACAUGAUUUGUCCCGGCUUUCAAAAGACAUCAUCGAGUAUAGCUCCGGGAAGUAUCAUUAAUCCAGUUUCAGAUAUCCGGGGAUGA
rnacentral:rRNA from 1 species